GACGAACGCUGGCGGCGUGCUUAACACAUGCAAGUCGAACGGAAGGGCCCUGCUUGCAGGGUACUCGAGUGGCGAACGGGUGAGUAACACGUGGGUGAUCUGCCCUGCACUUCGGGAUAAGCUUGGGAAACUGGGUCUAAUACCGGAUAGGAACCAUCUUUAGUGUGGUGGUUGGAAAGUUUUUUCGGUGUAGGAUGAGCUCGCGGCCUAUCAGCUUGUUGGUGGGGUAAUGGCCUACCAAGGCGGCGACGGGUAGCCGGCCUGAGAGGGUGUACGGCCACAUUGGGACUGAGAUACGGCCCAGACUCCUACGGGAGGCAGCAGUGGGGAAUAUUGCACAAUGGGCGCAAGCCUGAUGCAGCGACGCCGCGUGGGGGAUGAAGGCCUUCGGGUUGUAAACUCCUUUCGCUAGGGACGAAGCUUUGUUGUGACGGUACCUAGAUAAGAAGCACCGGCUAACUACGUG
rnacentral:rRNA from 1 species